UACGUAGGGGGCGAGCGUUGUCCGGAGUUACUGGGCGUAAAGGGCAUGCAGGCGGUCGGACGCGUUUCGGGUGACAGCGGGUGGCUUAACUACCCGAGUGGUCGAAAGACGGUUUGACUUGAGGACGCGGGAGGGACACGGAAUUCCGGGUGGAGUGGUGAAAUGCGUAGAGAUCCGGAGGAACACCGAAGGCGAAGGCAGUGUCCUGGCGCGUAACUGACGCUGAGGUGCGAAAGCCAGGGGAGCGAACGGG
rnacentral:rRNA from 1 species